AACGAAAAUUUCUAGCCUUAUCGGUGGAUCACUCGGCUCGUGGAUCGAUGAAGAACGCAGCAAACUGCGAUAAUUUGUGCGAACUGCAGAAACCUUGAGCACAAAAGUUUUGAACGCAUAUUGCCGCAUUGUGGUCAAACCCUUUGCUACGUCUGGUUCAGGGUCACUUUUCUUUUAAAGCGAAAGCUUUUAUUGUAUAUUGCUUUUUAUGCUAUAUAUUCUAAAAUGAUUGUUGUAUUUAUUCUAAUUGUUAAGCAUAACAAAAAUAAUUAAUUUUUGACCUGAACUUAGUCGAGAGCACCCGCUGAACUUAAGCAUAUCAGUAAGCGGAGGAAAAGAAACUAAAUAGGAUUCCCCCAGUAACGGCGAGUGAACAGGGAAAUGUCCAUCGCUAAAUCAUUUUGCCUCAGGCAUUAUGAGGUGUAGCGUAUAAGCCGUAAUUUUUGAUCUAUUGUCUCAAACAAGUCCCCUUGACUGGGGUUCCACAGAAGGUGCAAGUCCUGUACAUUGAGAUAAUUGAUCAAUAUUUGCGUCUUUAGAGUCGGGUUAUUUGGGAUCGCAGCCCAAAGUCGGUGGUAAACUUCAUCUAAGACUCAAUAUUGCCACGAGACCGAUAGCAAACAAGUACUGUGAAGGAAAGUUGCAAAGCACUUUGAAGAGAGAGUUAAAGAGGACGUGAAACCGGGCUCCCAUACAAAAUACCGAAUUCUUAAAAUAUGGAAUCUCAAAAUCGCGAAUCGGCUAAAAAAGCUCAAAAUAUGGAAUCUCAAAAUAUCGAAUCUCAAAAUAUGGAAUAGGCAAAAAAAGCUCAAAAUAUCGAAAAAUAUCGACAAUGCGGCAAAGGCCAGUUGAGUCUGAACAAAGUUGUGACCAACUUCUUCGUAAAAAAAUUUUAAAAAUAAGAGAAAGUAUUUUUCUAAGGUAAAAAAAUGUGCUGAUUACGAAUCUCAGCUCGGAUUUUGAAAAAGUCGAAUCCCGGACCCGAACCGAAUUUCGAAUCCCGAACCGAAUUUCGAGUUUCCGAAUGAUAGCUCAUCUGAAAGAGCACGUCGAGCUGCAUCGAAUGAUACCAAAAUCAAUGAAAUCCGACCUGAUUGGACUGAGUUACAGAUCCCUGAAUAAUCAGAAAAAGACCUGCAGCGGCACUCAAACGGCCCUUUUCGUUUUUAAAAAAUUCGACAUUUUUAACUACUUUUUAGCCGAUUCGGUAUUUUGAGCUUUUUUGGCCGAUUCGCGAUUUUGAGAUUCGAUAUUUUAAGAUUCCAUAUUUUGAGCUUUUUUGGCCGAUUCCAUAUUUUGAGAUAUUUUUACCGAUUCGCGAUUUUGAGCUUUUUUAGCCUAUUCGCGAUUUUGAGAAUUCGGUAUUUUGUGCGGGCACGUGAAACCGGUGAGGUGGAAACGGAUAGAGUCGGCGUAUCUUUCAAGUAUUCAUUUUACAUUAUUUUUGUGUUGUGAUCUCUGAGCUCCAGAUUGGGACAGAGGAAAGCAGCAUAAUUUUCUGUGAUGCAUUUACUUGUUUGGUGCUUGGGGAUGUUUGAGGCAGAUUUGUAACCGCCGUUUUGAGGCCAGCUUGCUGGUACCCAAACGGUGUUAGCAUUUUUUGUCUUGGACAUUUGAGUAUGGCUUACGGGCAUUUAUUAGUUCGAUCUAAGUGUUAGUUACGGUCGCAUGCGACACGUGCUUUUCAAUUAGUUCGGUCCAGUUAAUGCUCUCGUACUCUUUCCCCAUGUAAAAGCCGGUCAUCUAUCCGACCCGUCUUGAAACACGGACCAAGGAGUUUAUCGUGUGCGCAAGUUUUUGGGUGUUAAAAACCUAGAAGCAAAAUGAAAGUAAAUGACUCUUUAGAGUCUGAUGUGCGAUCUUGUAAAAAGGUGCAGCAUGGCCCCAUUCUAACUGUUUACAGUAGGGUGGCGGAAGAGCGUACGCGGUGAGACCCGAAAGAUGGUGAACUAUUCCUGAGCAGGACGAAGCCAGAGGAAACUCUGGUGGAAGUCCGAAGCGGUUCUGACGUGCAAAUCGAUCGUCUGACUUGGGUAUAGGGGCGAAAGACUAAUCGAACCAUCUAGUAGCUGGUUCCCUCUGAAGUUUCCCCCAGGAUAGCUGGAGCUCACGAGUAGUUAUACUCGGUAAAGCGAAUGAUUAGAGGACUUGGGAACGAAAUGUUCUUAACCUAUUCUCAAACUCUAAAUGGGUAUGAUGUCAAAGUUGCUUGAUUUUGAACUUUGGCGUUGAAUACGAGCUCCAAGUGGGCCAUUUUUGGUAAGCAGAACUGGCGAUGUGGGAUGAACCAAACGCGGAGUUGCGGUGCCAAAGUGCCCGCUCAUUAGACCCCAUAAAAGGUGUUGGUUGAUACAGACAGCAGGACGGUGGCCAUGGAAGUCGGAAUCCGCUAAGGAGUGUGUAACAACUCACCUGCCGAAUCAACUAGCCCUGAAAAUGGAUGGCGCUGGAGCGGGCCACCUAUACUCUGCCGUCAUAUGCUUGUAUUUUUGAGUCUUGC